rnacentral:rRNA from 1 species
GACGAACGCUGGCGGCGUGCUUACACAUGCAAGUCGAACGGAAAGGCCCUGCUUUUGUGGGGUGCUCGAGUGGCGAACGGGUGAGUAACACGUGAGUAACCUGCCCUUGACUUUGGGAUAACUUCAGGAAACUGGGGCUAAUACCGGAUAGGAGCUCCUGCUGCAUGGUGGGGGUUGGAAAGUUUCGGCGGUUGGGGAUGGACUCGCGGCUUAUCAGCUUGUUGGUGGGGUAGUGGCUUACCAAGGCUUUGACGGGUAGCCGGCCUGAGAGGGUGACCGGCCACAUUGGGACUGAGAUACGGCCCAGACUCCUACGGGAGGCAGCAGUGGGGAAUAUUGCACAAUGGGCGGAAGCCUGAUGCAGCAACGCCGCGUGCGGGAUGACGGCCUUCGGGUUGUAAACCGCUUUCGCCUGUGACGAAGCGUGAGUGACGGUAAUGGGUAAAGAAGCACCGGCUAACUACGUGCCAGCAGCCGCGGUGAUACGUAGGGUGCGAGCGUUGUCCGGAUUUAUUGGGCGUAAAGGGCUCGUAGGUGGUUGAUCGCGUCGGAAGUGUAAUCUUGGGGCUUAACCCUGAGCGUGCUUUCGAUACGGGUUGACUUGAGGAAGGUAGGGGAGAAUGGAAUUCCUGGUGGAGCGGUGGAAUGCGCAGAUAUCAGGAGGAACACCAGUGGCGAAGGCGGUUCUCUGGGCCUUUCCUGACGCUGAGGAGCGAAAGCGUGGGGAGCGAACAGGCUUAGAUACCCUGGUAGUCCACGCUGUAAACGGUGGGUACUAGGUGUGGGGUCCAUUCCACGGGUUCCGUGCCGUAGCUAACGCUUUAAGUACCCCGCCUGGGGAGUACGGCCGCAAGGCUAAAACUCAAAGGAAUUGACGGGGCCCCGCACAAGCGGCGGAGCAUGCGGAUUAAUUCGAUGCAACGCGUAGAACCUUACCUGGGUUUGACAUGGAUCGGGAGUGCUCAGAGAUGGGUGUGCCUCUUUUGGGGUCGGUUCACAGGUGGUGCAUGCCUGUCGUCAGCUCGUGUCGUGAGAUGUUGGGUUAAGUCCCGCAACGAGCGCAACCCUUGUUCACUGUUGCCAGCACGUUAUGGUGGGGACUCAGUGGAGACCGCCGGGGUCAGCUCGGAGGAAGGUGGGGAUGACGUCAAGUCAUCAUGCCCCUUAUGUCCAGGGCUUCACGCAUGCUACAAUGGCUGGUACAGAGAGUGGCGAGCCUGUGAGGGUGAGCGAAUCUCGGAAAGCCGGUCUCAGUUCGGAUUGGGGUCUGCAACUCGACCUCAUGAAGUCGGAGUCGCUAGUAAUCGCAGAUCAGCAACGCUGCGGUGAAUACGUUCCCGGGGCU